ACCUGGGUGGCUCAGUUAGUUAAGCAUCUGACUUCAGCUCAGGUCAUGAUCUCAUGGUUUGUGGGUUCAAGCCCCAUGUCAGGCU
rnacentral:tRNA from 1 species